rnacentral:tRNA from 1 species
UAGGAAGUAGUGUAGUGGGAGCACUGAGAGUUUUGAUCUCUCCAGGUAGGGUUCGAACCCCUUUUUUCUAA